rnacentral:rRNA from 1 species
AUUGAACGCUGGCGGCAGGCUUAACACAUGCAAGUCGAGCGGGGUGAUGGUGCUUGCACUAUCACUUAGCGGCGGACGGGUGAGUAAUGCUUAGGAAUCUGCCUAUUAGUGGGGGACAACAUCUCGAAAGGGAUGCUAAUACCGCAUACGUCCUACGGGAGAAAGCAGGGGAUCACUUGUGACCUUGCGCUAAUAGAUGAGCCUAAGUCGGAUUAGCUAGUUGGUGGGGUAAAGGCCUACCAAGGCGACGAUCUGUAGCGGGUCUGAGAGGAUGAGCCGCCACACUGGGACUGAGGCACGGCCCAGACUCCUACGGGAGGCAGCAGUGGGGAAUAUUGGANNANGGGGGGAACCCUGAUCCAGCCAUGCCGCGUGUGUGAAGAAGGCCUUAUGGUUGUAAAGCACUUUAAGCGAGGAGGAGGCUCUUUUGGUUAAUACCCNAGAUGAGUGGACGUUACUCGCAGAAUAAGCACCGGCUAACUCUGUGCCAGCCGCCGCAGUAA